UGAAGGAUGAGUAGGGAUUUGGUCACUUAU
rnacentral:piRNA from 2 species